rnacentral:rRNA from 1 species
AUUGAACGCUAGCGGGAUGCCUUACACAUGCAAGUCGAACGGAGUGGCGAACGGGUGAGUAAUGUAUAGGAACGUGCCCGGUAGCGGGGGAUAACUACGCGAAAGCGUAGCUAAUACCGCAUACUAUUGGAGCGGCCGAUAUCGGAUUAGCUAGUUGGUGGGGUAACGGCUCACCAAGGCGACGAUCCGUAGCUGGUUUGAGAGGACGAACAGCCCCACGGGAAAUGUGAAACGGCCCAGACUCCUCCGGGAGGCAGCAGGGGGGAAGUUGGGACAAUGGGGGAAACCCUGAUCCAGCCAUGGCGCGUGGGUGAGGAAGGACUUCGGGUUGCAAAGCACUUUUGGUGGGGCGGCGUUACCUGCAGAAUAAGCACCGGCUAACUACGUGCCAGCAGCCGCGGUAAUAC